rnacentral:rRNA from 1 species
AUUGAACGCUGGCGGCAGGCCUAACACAUGCAAGUCGAACGAGUGGCGGACGGGUGAGUAAUGUCUGGGAAACUGCCCGACGGAGGGGGAUAAUUACUGGAAACGGUAGCUAAUACCGCAUACCAUCGGAUGUGCCCAGAUGGGUUUAGCUAGUAGGUGGGGUAAUGGCUCACCUAGGCGAAGAUCCCUAGCUGGUCUGAGAGGAUGACCAGCCACACUGGAACUGAGACGCGGUCCAGACUCCUACGGGAGGCAGCAGUGGGGAAUCUUGCACAAUGGGCGCAAGCCUGAUACAGCCCUGCCGCGUGUAUGAAGAAGGCCUUCGGGUUGUAAAGUACUUUCAGCGGGGAGGCGUUACUCGCAGAAGAAGCCCCGGCUAACUCCGUGCCAGCAGCCGCGGUAAUUG